rnacentral:lncRNA from 1 species
GCUGUUCAACUUCUGGUUUCUUAUGAGCCAUAGAUUGCUUGGAGUUUUUCAGUGUGGAAAAUCAUAGCGUCUAUGAGUGAUGCUAAUCUUAAUUAUCUCUCUCUAAUCACUGCUUCUUCUUUCUUGUUAAUUAGUCGACGUUAAAUAGAGGUGUAAAUUAAUAGCGGGUAGCUGUCUUGUUCCUAAUUUAAAAGGCGAUGGUUCUGAUGGUCCAUCAUGGCAAAUGAUGUUUGCUGGAGAUUUCUUUAAAACACCUCUCAUGAAAUUCUGGAAGCCUUGCCCAAUUCGCUUUGCUAAAACUUUUGUCAGGAUUUUCCCCUGCAGCUUUCUCUUUAAUCUGUGAUCGUGGGAAUUACACUAAUAAACACUCUGCAGUUGGACCAAACUUGUGUCGCUGAGAUAGUCAGCUUGGCCAUGAUAGAUACUUCAUUCAGCUCUUCUGGACUUAGAGUUCAAAAGCGUUUGCCUUUCAUAUUGGUUUUUGGUACUCGGGCUGGGUUUGUUUCAGAACAUGGACGUGUUUUCCCUCCCCAUUCUCUGGGAGAAGUUACUCAGCACUAAAAUGCAAUAGGGUGUUAUGGCUGCCAUGCCAGUUGGCGUCCCCCUCCUGUGGAUGUGUGUGCAUACUUGAGCCCGUGUGUGAUGCGUGUGCGUGCGUGCGUGCGUGCGUGCGUGCGUGCGUGCGUGUGUGUGUGUGUGUGUGUGUGUGUGUGUGUGUGUGUGCAGGCUGUUGACUUGCCCUUUUGACAGUUGUGGAGCCAUGAGAUUCAGCACUUUACUAUCAAGUCAUUUUUCAUCCGUUUGGUUCUCUUUUGGCUUUUAUGUAACGAGAGAAUUUUAUAUGUUCUGAGAAUUCUAAUCAGAAUUUGUUGCACAAUUGGUCAUUAUAACAUUACAUUCUGUGGCCUUGAGGAAAAGCAAAGAUACAGAAAGUGUAGGUAGGCAUGGCUACAGGCUCAUUUGUGAACUGAUAAAGAAUACUGAUGACAAAUAGCCGUGCUUCUGAGAGAAUGAGAAACAUGGAUAAAGUUGUUCACCUGUCAUCCAUAACCAAUAUCAAACACUUUGAAAAUGAUUUUAAUUGAUUGUCUAGCUUUUCAGAUAGUAUACAAAAGAGAUUUCUCUAUGACACCUUUGUGUGCUCUUUUGAAAGAAAGAGUAAGAGAAGGGAAACCCUCUUGCCUGCCCCGGCGCCCUGCCUGUGCACCUGUCCUUGGCUUCUUGUUCCUUGGAUGACCUCUGUGCUCUUUGCUCCCAUCCCUGUGACUCCAGAACUGCUGUCCCUGUCCUGUGUUCAAAGGUUAGCAAGAAACCACCUUUGUCAGAGCACUAGUUUUGUCUUUACUGGAGGAGAGAGAAGGCAGGGCUGCGUGGGACUCGCGCUCGGGGUGGCUAUCUCUGGGAUUCUGCUGUUAGUCCUGGGACCCAUGGCUCACUGUUUGGCUAGUGGGUUUUCAUGACUCUCUCUUCCUCCCCUUUCCCUUCCUUUCACUCCCCUGCUAGCCCUCUGCUCCUCUCCCUCCCCUCCUCCUCUCCCAUGCUCCCCCUCCCCUCCUCCCCCUCCUGUGCUCCCUCUCCUGUGCUCCCCCUCCCCUCCUCCCCCUCUUCUCCCACUCCAUACCACAUGCCACAACAAUCAAGAAACAUAUUUGAAUGUGACAACCUGGACCUGUGUCUAGAGUGUCCUAGACUUGUCCUUUCUAGAAGUCAUUCUGUGACUAGACACACAGCCAGUGAGCCCCUCUGAUUGGGCUCACACAUUAACUGUCCCCCAAGUUCUCUAGCUCUGUAACUCUGCCUGUUGCCAGCUAGAGCAGAGCUGAAACACAGGAUCCAAGUCAGGGCCACCCCAGACCAGCUUGUCCUCAACACUGUGUUACAGUACACCACAUUGACCGACCUUCUGACCCACACAUCCUUGGUCCCUUCUGCCUCAGGACCCCUGUAUGUGCUGUUUGUUUUCCCUCUUUGCCUGCUAGCCCUUCCUAACUGCUAAGUCUUACCGAGAAAUGUCACUUCUGUGUACGUCUCUGCCCUGACCCAUUGCAGGCCCUUCCCUCCAUCUCUAUCCACGUAGAUUGUGUGUCUCUGCCUGAGCCUUUGUCACAGCCUGUCGCCCUUCUGUUUUAACCUGUCUGCUCUUGAGCCUGCACUGCAUGGUGGCCCAGGCUUGUUGGUCUCUCUCCCUCUGGUGUUCCUGGCAUCCAUUCCUGCUGCGCUAUCUUGGAUCUAGUCCAGAGCCUACAAGGCCCUACACAUACAUGGACACCAGCACUUCCCUCCCAUCCAUGCCCUUUGGGGAAAAAUGGAGUCUGAGAAUCUGCAAGCAAAAUGGGUAGUAAGUUCUCGGUGAAUUUACUCAAAGCCAAAGCCUCCUGGCUAUUUCAGGGCUCAAGGUGGCACCCAUUGUACCCGUCCUUUUCAUGUUUUGCUGGGGCUCACACCUUGGCAGAGCUAAUGUCACAGAGGCAGGAGGCCUGGAGAUCUGAGCAUGGACUCUAAGGCAGGGCCACCAGCUCUGGGCAUGGGCCACCCAAGGACACAAGAGCACACCAUGGGCUGCAUGGGUGCCCAGUGCUCAAGAACAGGGAGGAACAGCCCCUGUGCCACUCGGAAGGAGUAGAGGGAUUUCAGGGUAAAGUGGGGGGCAGAUGCAGAACCAGACCCUGAGGGCCAAGCUUAUGGGUGACUAAGAACAGGGGGGUGGGGGGGGGAGCCCUGGUGCUGCAUGGAAGUGAAGGACAUGCUCUGCUCAGGGCAUCCAAAUUCUCUGAAUAAAGUCUCUGUCAGCCACUGGGUCAGAAUCCAGCCAGAAGGGCUGCUUCCAGACAGUGCCCCACCCUGACCCCAGGACCGAGAGAAGCGCCAAGUGAGAGGUCUUCAGCCAAAGCUGAGGGACUUGAGGCUGAUGUCUCUAAGUGACAAGCCAGGCCCAGCCAGAACAAAGCCUAAGCCCAGGGAAGUGCCUGGAGCAGCAUGAGAUGGGCAGACAGCAGUGUUGGUGUUUCAGAAGUGUCCUCUGCAGUCUGAGGCUCUCCUGCCAAAGCUGGGGGAAUCUGAAAGAAGGCUAACAUCAACUCCCUUGUGGUAAGAGACUGUGGCGCCUGAAUCAUAGCUUUGCUGAAGGCUUUGUCUACGUUUGUUCAGUUCUCCAGGAAUCCAAAGCCCCUCCUAGAUGUGGCCCCAACAGUUCUCUGGGCUUCUGCAGGGUAUCAUGCAUCCUAAGGUCCAGUUACAUCUUGAUUUAUUACAUCUUGAUUUAGGGACUCUUAACACUGCAUCCCGUGGCAGGGGCUGAGUGUAAGCAGCUGCUGAUCCUAAGAAACAAGGUGCUGUGAUAAAUGCCUAUAAUCCCAGCUCUGGGAGGCUGAGGCAGGAGGCUAGUGAUCUUAAGCUUAGUCUGAGUUGCUUAGUGAAAUUGUGUCACAAAAAACAACAACAACAACA